rnacentral:lncRNA from 1 species
UCAUAAUCUGCUAACGGAUUGGAACUCACCACUGUACAUUUACUGAAAAUUAAAUUGAUUGACUUAUCAUUUAAUUCAAAUUACAUUUUUCUCAAGAAUGCAUGCGAAAGCUAUAGAGCAAUCUAAGAAGCGUAAAAGUUUAACGUAUUGAAUAAUAGAUUUCAAUGUAAUUGUGAAUCUCUUCCAUUUCUUCUCAUGGAUGAAAGAAAAACAAAGACAUAUUUGUGUCCUACAUAAUUAUACUUGUAAGA